rnacentral:ncRNA from 2 species
CCGCUCCGGACGUUUCCAGGCUUAAUAGGGAAGACCGGUGCAAAUCCGGCACGGACCCGCCACUGUAAGAAGCGCCGCCCCGCUAGCGGAUGCGGCAAUCGCAUUCAAUUUUCGCGCCACUGGAUCGGCCGAUCCGGGAAGGCUGUGAAUGCGGUCAAGCUUCGAGUCAGGAGACCUGCCUGUUUUAUCGACGCUGA